GAUAUUGGAUGCCGCCUGCAGCACUCAUAUUUGCAAGUCAUUGCAGGGAUUAUAAAAAAUUAAAAUUUUAAAGAAAGAUGACUUUGAGUUCUAUGGUGCUAGAGGAGAGUCCAUCUAAGCUGAAACUGCAGGGACAUAUCUCUUGAAGUUAUCUUUCAGAAAGAUCUUAGAGUUAAAGAAUUAUUAUUAUAUGCCUAAGAUCGAUAGAAAUAUAAUU
rnacentral:lncRNA from 1 species